rnacentral:rRNA from 2 species
UUGGAUGUGGAAGCAUAGUGAUAUGUGAAGCUGACCAAUACUAAUUGCUCGUGAGGCUUGACUAUACAACACCCAAGCAGUUG